rnacentral:rRNA from 6 species
UAAAACUUUCAACAACGGAUCUCUUGGUUCUGGCAUCGAUGAAGAACGCAGCGAAAUGCGAUAAGUAAUGUGAAUUGCAGAAUUCAGUGAAUCAUCGAAUCUUUGAACGCACAUUGCGCCCCCUGGUAUUCCGGGGGGCAUGCCUGUUCGAGCGUCAUUGC